ACUGGGCAUGGUGGUGCAUGCCUGUAAUCCCAGCAACCCAAGAGGCUGAGGCAGGAGAAUCACAAGUUCAAAGCCAAGCUCAGCAAUUUAGUGAGCCCCUAAGCAACCAAAUGAGACCCUGUCUCAA
rnacentral:sRNA from 1 species